AACCAUAGAAACCUGCGGAGUACCUGCGGAGGGAUCAUUAUAGUAUACGGAAUCUCCAUUCUAUAAACCCACUCUGCGUAUCUUGUAACUGUUGCUUCCAUGGGACUUGGUUCCGCCACACCGGCUUCACGGCUGGUGAGCGCCCAUGGAAGGAGAAACAAAACUCUUCUUUGAAAUGUAGUCAGUCUGAACAAGUUUUUAUAAACGUUAAAACUUUCAGCAAUGGAUCUCAGAUCGGAA
rnacentral:misc_RNA from 1 species